GAGAAAUUCAUUUCUCUUUUCUUUCUUCUCUCUUUGUUCUUCUUUCCUCUUCUUAUUUCUUCUUCCUGUUCUUUCUCUUUAUCUUUCUUUGUUCGAUCUCUGUUGAUUUUUGGUGAGUUAUGUGAGCGAUUAUCGAAGUAAACUUGAUGUUGAAGCUAUUUUAGCGAUGAUGAAGAUGUUGUGGUUCUGAUUUGUGAAGAAGAACAAUUGAAUAUUGUUAUAGUUUCGGAAUAAGUUUGAGAAGAUCGAAAUUAGGGUUUGGAAUGAAAUUGAGAGGUGAACUGGGUCGUUAAUGUAUGAAGAAUCGAGGGGUUGUUAUCGAAUUGACGAGGAGAAGUUUUUCUGAUGGUGAAUCGAAAUUCAGUUGGUCGUUAUUAACAAUGAUCGACUCAAAGGAUGAUCCAGUGGAUUGAACAUCUCAAGGUAGGCGAGGCUUGUCAUCAAAAGAGUUUCAGAGACGGAUCAAGAUGUACUCGUGGCGAUGAAAGCUUCGAGGAGUUGGUUUCGUUAGUUGGUUAGCUCCCGCUAUGCUUAUUUUGUGGUUAUAUUUUAUUUGUAAACCAACUCACUAUAAAAUAUGUAUCAUUUGAGAGGAGUUCUUGUAUUUAUUUCAGAGAGGGUUUAGAUUCGGUUAAUCUUUGCUUAGAACUUGUUUCUUGGUGUUUAAUCAGAUGUUUUAGAUCGUUAGUGCCUCUUUAUAUA